rnacentral:rRNA from 1 species
CCUACGGGAGGCAGCAGUGGGGAAUUUUGGACAAUGGGCGCAAGCCUGAUCCAGCAAUGCCGCGUGCAGGAUGAAGGCCUUCGGGUUGUAAACUGCUUUUGUACGGAGCGAAAAGGCUCUCUCUAAUACAGGGGGCUCAUGACGGUACCGUAAGAAUAAGCACCGGCUAACUACGUGCCAGCAGCCGCGGUAAU